GCGGACGUGGCCAAGUGGUUAAGGCAAUGGAUUGUGAUUCCGUUAUGCGCGGGUUCGAGUCCCGUCGUUCGCC
rnacentral:tRNA from 1 species